rnacentral:rRNA from 1 species
CAAGAAUACCCGCUGAAAUUAAGCAUAUCAAUAAGCGGAGGA